rnacentral:rRNA from 1 species
UACGUAGGUGGCGAGCGUUGUCCGGGUUUACUGGGCGUAAAGGGAGCGUAGGCGGGCUUUUAAGUGAGAUGUGAAAUACUCGGGCUCAACUUGAGUGCUGCAUUUCAAACUGGAAGUCUAGAGUGCAGGAGAGGAGAAUGGAAUUCCUAGUGUAGCGGUGAAAUGCGUAGAGAUUAGGAAGAACAACAGUGGCGAAGGCGAUUCUCUGGACUGUAACUGACGCUGAGGCUCGAAAGCGUGGGGAGCAAACAGG